CGGACGGGUGAGUAACGCGUGAGAAUUCGCCUUUAGGCGGGGAAUAACUAUAGGAAACCAUAGCUAAUGCCCCAUAUGCUCGCAAGAGUGAAAGGAGAAAUCCACCCAAAGAGAAGCUCGCGGCUGAUUAGCUAGUUGGUAAGGUAAUGGCUUACCAAGGCGACGAUCAGUAGCUGGUUUGAGAGAACGAUCAGCCACACUGGAACUGAGACACGGUCCAGACUCCUACGGGAGGCAGCAGUGGGGAAUUUUCCGCAAUGGGCGGAAGCCUGACGGAGCAAUACCGCGUGAGGGAUGACGGCCUUGGGGUUGUAAACCUCUCUUAUCAAGGAGGAAGUUCUGACGUGUACUUGAUGAAUAAGCAUCGGCUAACUCCGUGCCAGCAGCCGCGGUAAGACGGAGGAUGCAAGUGUUGUCCGGAAUCACUGGGCGUAAAGCGUCUGUAGGUGGUUUAAAAAGUCUGCUGUUAAAAGUUGAAGCUUAACUUCAAAGAUGCCGUAGAAACUUUAAACUUGAGGAUGGUAGGGGUAGAGGGAAUUUCCAGUGGAGCGGUGAAAUGCGUAGAUCUUGGAAAGACCACCAAUGGCGAAGGCACUCUACUGGGCCAUUACUGACACUGAGAGACGAAAGCUAGGGGAGCAAAUGGGAUUAGAUACCCCAGUAGUC
rnacentral:rRNA from 1 species